rnacentral:tRNA from 1 species
CCGCUUUUAGCUCAGUGGUCGAGCGUUGGCUUUGGAAGCCACAGGGUCGGUGGUUUCGAACCCGCCAGGGCACA